rnacentral:rRNA from 1 species
GACGAACGCUGGCGGCGUGCCUAAUACAUGCAAGUAGAACGCUGAAGGAGGAGCUUGCUUCUCUGGAUGAGUUGCGAACGGGUGAGUAACGCGUAGGUAACCUGCCUGGUAGCGGGGGAUAACUAUUGGAAACGAUAGCUAAUACCGCAUAAGAGUAGAUGUUGCAUGACAUUUGCUUAAAAGGUGCAAUUGCAUCACUACCAGAUGGACCUGCGUUGUAUUAGCUAGUUGGUGGGGUAACGGCUCACCAAGGCGACGAUACAUAGCCGACCUGAGAGGGUGGACGGCCACACUGGGACUGGGACACGGCCCAGACUCCUAAGGGAGGGAACAGGAAGGAAUUUUCCGCAAAGGACGGAAGUCUGGACGGACAACGCCGCGGGAGUGGAGAAGGGUUUCGGAUCGUAAAACUCUGUUGUAAGGGAAGGACGAGUGUGAGAGUGGAAAGUUCACGCUGUGACGGUAUCUAACCAGAAAGGGACGGCUAACUACGUG